GAUUAGAGUUUGAUCCUGGCUCAGAACGAACGCUGGCGGCAUGCUUAACACAUGCAAGUCGAACGAGACCUUCGGGUCUAGUGGCGCACGGGUGCGUAACGCGUGGGAAUCUGCCCUUUGCUACGGAAUAACUCAGAGAAAUUUGUGCUAAUACCGUAUAAUGUCGUAAGACCAAAGAUUUAUCGGCAAAGGAUGAGCCCGCGUAAGAUUAGCUUGUUGGUGAGGUAAAGGCUCACCAAGGCGACGAUCUUUAGCUGGUCUGAGAGGAUGAUCAGCCACACUGGGACUGAGACACGGUCCAGACUCCUACGGGAGGCAGCAGUAGGGAAUAUUGGACAAUGGGCGAAAGCCUGAUCCAGCCAUGCCGCGUGAUAGAUGAAGGCCCUCUGGGUUGUAAAUAUCUUUUAUCUGGGAAGAAACAAUCUUAUUCUUAAGAUCUUGACGGUACCAGAGGAAUAGCCCC
rnacentral:rRNA from 1 species